UCGAAUGGUAGAUAAAUUGAUAGGUGCAUAGCGGUGAUAAGGAAAGAAAGGGCACUGUUCUGCAGUGAGGGAAACGGCGAGACCACAGUGACUUCACGAGGUCUAAGAUCAAUGGUGACGACGGUUGGCAAUGGUGGCGACGAUAUGGUGUUAAAGAGUUAGGGUUUUUUGUGUGGAGAAGAUGAGAAAACUAAGGGAAAGGGAAAGGAAGGGUGGAGGGGUUUGGGGGUUUUCUUUGUUUCUCUUUUUUUCUUGUCCGUUUGGGACUUCUUUUUUUCUUUUUCUCUUCCUAGGCCUGUUUGGCCAUUUGGCCCAUUUCUUCUCUCUUUCUUUUUUUCUUUUGGGUUUCGUUGGGCUUGUUGGGGUUUUGGGUAUUUGGGUCUAUUUUUUGGUUUUGGGUAAUUGGUUUUUAUUUAGGUGUUGGGUUGGUAUUGAGCAUGGGGUUUUUAUUUGGGUUAGGGGUGUUGGGUGCUAGUUUGUGAAGAAAAUAAAUAGCACUUAGCACGGUGUGCCUAAGCCCCGAUCGAUAUCCAAU
rnacentral:lncRNA from 1 species